UAAAGCUUAGAGUAAUUAACCAACCCGGGAGCAGGCGGGACUUUUGACUUUCUGGGCCAAGACACUGGCUGGUAAUACCGAGCAGUUGUCCUGUCCCCAGGCGUGGGGUGGGGCCGCCGGGAACGUUUCCGCACAGCUGACACCAAGCGGAGCCAGCACGGGACCAACUGUCAGGAGGGUCCCAGAAGUCACUUCACAGCGGUGCCCUCUCCAACGCCCAAUACCCUCUUCCGGGAGGCUUCUGCAGCCAUCUCAGCGACACUAGAGAAGACUUGUGCACCUUUGGCUCAGACACCCAAGCAGUGAACGCACCGUGUUGCAGAUUACGAGAGGGUUCACCCAGGUCUUCCAAGCGUGUGUGCCGACAGACACAGAGCAUCGCGGUUCGGACCUUCCUCGUGACAAGUGACAAGUGACAAGUGCACAGAGGUCCAGUCUGGCCAAUCACUCCCCAGCACUGCUUCAGCCAAGGUUGACUUUCACCUCGUAUUGACUUCUUGAGGCGCAGAGGAUGUAAAAGUGGAACUUUCACUUGCAGAACAUCGAUAGGUCUGGAAAGAGCUGGUGAAGAAAGUUGAACUACACAGAGCAGAACUUCGGCUCCAAAAUGUACUGAUGAGGCGACUUGGACUGCGGAGAGAGACUUGGACCACGGAUGCACUCGGAGGGAUGCAAAAAGAGAAAGCGAAAUGGCCACCGUGGAAGGAAGGCUGACGCCAGAAAAAACUGUGCAAAAACAGGAACGCUGAGACCUGCUCUGGCCUAACAGGGACCAGACUGAGAGAUUCCUGGUUUAGGUGUAUCCGUUGUGAUGAUAACGACAGUAAUAAUAAACCUGCUAACCACCAGUGUGGCCCAGAGACGCCAAAAGGUUGGACGCCCCUGGAUACUACCGUCUGUAAUUGUUUGCUUCUCGUGUCUGUAUCUGUGAACAGUCAGUGGUAAGAGGUCACUCCCAUAAAAUAUCAUUUGCGGAUCAGAAACCAUUGGCCACAUUUAACAGAUGGGCAGUUGGAGGUUCAGGAGGCGGGAGCGAGGCCACAGUGCAGGCGCAAAGCAAGCAGGACUUCGGACUCAGGUAACACGUGCACCACGCACUGGACUUGUCAAGAGGACUGGACACCUGGGGACCUUUUCCCUUCACCCACUGCUCCUGUUGGUUACAGACAUGACAGAACUUCACUGACACUCGGUCACGUGACCCAGGUGCUCUGGGGACACACAGGCCCAGGAGGUCUUCAAGGGGGGUUGCGGUUGGCUUCACGAUUGAAUCUUCAUCAAUUCGCUCACUCGUUUAGUUCUUUAUUCACUCCACACCCAAACACUAAGCACGUAUAUAAUCUCCUAGCCAGAGUGCUGUCUGUGAAAAACAACUAAUGGGAAACACAUUACUAGGUAGACAGGGUUUUAUCUCUGGAAAAUGAGACUGCAGAUGGCGUUUAUUUCCCUCUUCUAGCUUGUCUGGUUUCCAUUUCCCCUCAUAAACGGGGAUGGAGUUUGUAAGUCAACUCCUACACCGAGCGGUAUGCAGACGAUCCUUUGGCAAACAGGACACUGAUACAUUUUCCCAAAGUUGCCAGAAGUGUUGCUGAGCUGUGAUUUGAGCUGCAGCUGCAGAGUUAAGACCCGCGAUGGGCCAAACACAUGACACUCCGAUGGACAACGGUGGGCAAGGGUGGAAGCUGACUGGUGUGCACAACCCACAGGCCUCCCCCCGGAUCAGACAAGAAACCUUCCCCCGGGUCCCCAAGCUCCACUGUGUGCAUCAGAGCUGGUGGGGGCGGGGUGGGGGAGGUGGCUGUUAAAACAGAUGAAUAGGCCUCACUCCUACUCUUGCAUUGCAGCAGGUUUGGGGUCUGCCUGGGAAUUCGAGUUCGCCAGGUUCCCAGUGACUCUGUUGCCCCUGGUCCAAGAACCACAAUUUGGGGAUCCCAACUUUAAGAAAUGCAACCCGCAGUGUUCCUUCAGUUUUCCACUGCUCCGCCCCACCCCUGUGUGCAAGCCCGAGGUUGCUAGGCAUCCGGCACUAGCACCUGUAAGACUGUAAGAGCUCGCACCUGCAGCAACCGCCAGGCUCCCACUGAACUUCGCUGGGAGAAUUCUCGUCUGCGGCGACAUGAACUGCAACGUCCGCAGACCCCUUCCUGGAGCCCAUGGAGCCAGGCCCUUCCGGAGGACCUGCCCGGACCCCAGUCCGCUUUGGGCAUCCUGGCAUCCUGGUAGGCACCGUCAGGCACCAAGUGGCUGUUCCUUGUUCCUCCUCGAGGUCACCUCUCUCCUCCUUAAAAUAUAUACUACAUAAAAUAAUAAAAAUUCUGCCGUCCUUCCCCAACCAACAACAUGGGUUUGAACUGUGCCUGUCAGUUGAACCACAUUCAAUUGAAAAAAAAAAUCAGCAUAUAAGUUGGACCAGGGCAGUUGAGAUGGGUGUUGUUCCAGGGUCAAGUGUAUGUGAAAUGUACAGAACCCGCAAGUCUGGAGAGACAGGAAGUAGAUCUGUGAUUGGCUGGGGGUGGGGAGGAGGGGGCAACCCCUAUGGCUAAAUGUUCAGGCUUCUCCGUGGAGAGAAUAAAAAUCCCAAAGUGGACU